AAUGCCGUGCUUGAUUUCCUUGGCUCUGGUCACUAAUUGAUCUUAGCCAUUGAUGCAUCUGUAUCUGCAUCUGAUUUGAUCAAAAAAUUGUCACAGAUUGUGGAGUUGAUUUUGAUGAGUUAUUGAUCACAAAAACUACUGGCGAUUCAGACAGUGAGGAUGAUCGUAAUCAUACAUUGAUGGCUGAUGAUCGUAUUCAUGCAUUGAUUGCUAGUGAUAAUGUUCUUCAAUUUGAUAUUAUUCUUGGACCUACAUAGAUUCAGGUAUGUUACAUUUUAAACAGCUCGGUGUAUAGUUUAUAAUAAUUUGAGAAGAAUGACAUCGUAAUAUGAAUGGGUGGAGCUGGGAGUGGUCUCAUUGCCGCAAUAACGGGCUCCUGUACUUUAUCAAGGGAUUGUACAUUCAGUGAAUGCAGCUAAUUGUCUGGUGUGAAAGUGCUUUCGACUUCUAGUUCCAAGUUGUUAAAGCCCCCAUCGGACCAUCACUUACUAUGUCUGCCAUCUCAUUAGUUUCAUUGUUGCAGGUAAGCUGGUUAUCUCUGUCUCCCUCUUAUGCAUCACAAGCAUUUGUGUGUCUCAGUUUGUUAAAAUUGUCUCUCUGCUGAUGUAUGUUUUUGAGCUAUAUUAAGUGUUGAUAUUUUGUGUGAACAAAUAUGAUGAAAAUCUACUGGGAAUUUAUUAUCAAGAAGGAAUCUAUGAGGCACACUUCUUCUAUCACAUUGGUUUUAUGAUAUUCAAAUAACACCUUGAUUUUACUUGCAGUUUAAUAUUAAUGUGAAGUUUAUAUUGUUGAAAGAAGCCUGAAAGUAAUACAUUGCUUACAAUAAAAAAGUAUUGCAGUUGAAAUUCUUAUGGUAACAGUUCUUUAAUGAUGCAGGCUAGAAACAGUGAUU